rnacentral:rRNA from 1 species
UAGAUACCCUACUAUGCUUGGCAAAAACAAGGUCAAGACAUACACUUUGACCCGCCAGAUUAUUACAAGUAAAAACUUAAAACUCAAAGGACUUGACGGUGUCCCACAUACAACCUAGAGGAGCCUGUCCUAUAAUCGAUAAUCCACGAAUAACCCAACCACUUUUUGCCCAACAGCCUAUAUACCGCCGUCGAAAGUCCACCCUAUGAAGGAAGUAAAGUGAACAAAAUAGCCCGACACUAGUACGUCAGGUCAAGGUGUAGUUUAUAAAGUGGUCAGAGAUGGGCUACAUUUCUUUCUUUAAAAGAAAAACGAAUGAUUAAAUGAAACCUUAGUCAGAAGGAGGAUUUAGUAGUAAAACAGGAUCAGCACGCCUGCUUGAACACACUGCCCUGGGACGCGUACACACCGCCCGUCACCCCCAUCACAUACCCAAAACCCGUAAAUAAGACCAUAACAUAAGAAAGAUUGGGUAAGUCGUA